rnacentral:ncRNA from 1 species
CACAAAGGCAAACUACAUCGAAAGGGUAGGGCGCAAAGCCAUGGGUCUAAGGCAUUGUUAUGUGCUAUGAUCGCCAGGCUGCAG